rnacentral:rRNA from 1 species
UGGCGGACGGGUGAGUAAUGCAUAGGAAUCUGCCUUAAAGUGGGGGAUAACCCGGGGAAACCCGGGCUAAUACCGCAUAAUCUCUACGGAGCAAAGCCGGGGACCUUCGGGCCUGGCGCUAUAAGAUGAGCCUAUGUCGGAUUAGCUAGUUGGUAGGGUAAAGGCCUACCAAGGCAACGAUCCGUAGCUGGUCUGAGAGGAUGGCCAGCCACACUGGGACUGAGACACGGCCCAG